AGAGGACACUCCUGUGAAUCAGGAAGUGGUCAGUACCAGGAGAAUUUAUUGUGGAAUUGAAGGAGGAAGAUACUACUCUAUCUUUUCAUUGUGCAUUCUCAGCUCUUAAUGCCUGGCACAGGAAGACAGAUGCCCAGCUGCAAACACUCUAUGGCCCAAGGAGGCAACUGCAAAUCCAAAUAUAAGCUGCUUGGGAGAAAAAAAGGCAACAUCAAGGACUCCCCAGCCAGCAAGAAACUAGAAGCCUCAGUCUCACAGCCACCAGGAACUGAGUUCUGACAACAGCAAAGUAGCCUGAAAGACAGACCCAAGUUCCAGAAAGGAACACAGGCCAGCCAAUACCACUGAGACCCCAGCUGGAGCAACUAGUUCAGCUGUUCCCAGAUAUUUGAUCUGCAGAAACCAUGAGAGAAUAAAUGGUGCUCAUUCAAGCCAAUAAUUG